rnacentral:rRNA from 1 species
AUUGAACGCUGGCGGCAUGCUUUACACAUGCAAGUCGAACGGUAACAGGCCUUCGGGUGCUGACGAGUGGCGAAUGGGUGAGUAAUGCAUCGGAACGUACCCAGAGGUGGGGGAUAACGCAGCGAAAGCUGUGCUAAUACCGCAUGUGAUCUGAGGAUGAAAGCGGGGGACCGAGCAGCAAUGUUUGGCCUCGCGCCUUUGGAGCGGCCGAUGUCGGAUUAGCUAGUUGGUGGGGUAAAGGCCUACCAAGGCGACGAUCCGUAGCUGGUCUGAGAGGACGACCAGCCACACUGGGACUGAGACACGGCCCAGACUCCUACGGGAGGCAGCAAUGGGGAAUUUUGGACAAUGGGCGCAAGCCUGAUCCAGCAAUGCCGCGUGCGGGAAGAAGGCCUUCGGGUUGUAAACCGCUUUUGGCAGGAACGAAACGGUGUCCGCUAAUACCGGGCGCUAAUGACGGUACCUGCAGAAUAAGCACCGGCUAACUACGUG